AUACGUAGGUACCGAGCGUUGCGCGGAGUCACUGGGCGUAAAGCGUCCGCAGCCGGCCCCGUAAGCGGGAUGGCAAAGCCCGCCGCUCAACGGCGGAACGGCAUCCCGAACUGCGGGGCUUGAGGCGCGCCCGGGCAGGCGGAAUUCCCGGGGUAGCGGUGAAAUGCGUAGAUCUCGGGAGGAACACCGAAGGGGAAGCCAGCCUGCUGGGGCCGUCCUGACGGUCAGGGACGAGAGCCGGGGGAGCAAACCGGAUUAGAAACCCUAGUAGUCC
rnacentral:rRNA from 1 species